GGCGGGGGCAAAGCUAUAAAGAAGCCCCGAGGUAAGAAACGAGCAAAAACACCACCACCAGUCAUGCCCGCGCUGUGCCGCGAGCAGCAAAGACAAGCGGCGUGGGGUUUGGAGGCAUCCACGCUUCUCGUCGGGGAGAAAGGAAGUCUUUGGAAUUUCGGAGAAAAAGAAAAGCGUCAUUUAACGACCCUAGAGUUUUCGCAGCUGAAAUAAAUGAGUGGCCAAUGCACUGUUCCUAACAAGGAUCUAGAGUUUCCAGCCAGACUGAAGGGCAAUUGUGUCCGACCUAAAGGGACAAUGGUGACUCGUUUUGUGAGAUGCAUAUGGCAAAGAAUAGAGCCAAAAUCCUUUGUCAAUAUUUCAAACGUUAAAGAAAUUUUUGCUUAUUUACAUCCUAAAAUUUUUGGACUCCACUCUAUUAAAAUGUGUUCAUUUCUUAUGACCUUUAUUUGCAAGGAAAAUUGUAUCUAUGCUUUGGGUGUCAAAUUGCAAUAACUAAUUUCAGAAAGCAUUUUGUCAUUGAAAAUGUGUUUAUAUGUAAUCAAGUAACAAAACGUCUGUAUUCCAAACAAAAGCAGAAAACUGUAUUGAGAUUGUUUCCUCCAUUAAAAAGAUGCAGCAUUGUAUUCAUAAGAUACCAACUAAGUAAUUUAAAUAUUGAGAGGAAAACUGUUUUGAAACAGAAUAAGCUUUUGUUAUUUUUGUCUUCAGAUUUUAGAGGCCUUUUGUGAAAGGCAUUGUUCCUUUAUAGCUGAAAUACUGAACCCCUUGUACAUACCACAGUAGCUCAAUAAUGAUGAAUCCUUAAGGCACCAAAAAAUAAAACAUAAAUUGAGUUCAAAACAACAUUCAAUUUACUGUUGGAUAUAAUGGUAAUUGUGGCUAGGCUAAAUGAAUUUGUUUAAAUUCUUAAUGGCCAUAAAAGAGAUUUUAAGGUUAUUGCAUAUCACUUGUUUGUAUUUAAUUAUUCAAUAAAAUGUGAACUAGGCUUGAAAAGCUCCUGCAUGAUAUUUAAUAUCAUACGGGACGUCACUACUUAAACAUCUCUGUUUUUCCUCAGUAAUUUUUAAAACUUGAAAUUUGAACUGGAAUUUAAAUCACUUUCUUCCAAGUGAGACUUUAAAAGAAGCUAUAAGUAACAGGUGUUGGCUUUCAUUGUUGACCCCUUUGGGUUAUGUAUAAAAGCAGUUCCCAAACAAAACACAUAAACCGACUUUAUAGGUAAACAGUUUACACUUUCACAAUGAGCCAGGGAAAUACAGUUUUAAUGUAUAUAAAUCAUAAAUCACCCGGGAUUAGAAUUUUUUAAAUUUAAGUUACAUUAAAAAUAGUUUUAAAUAAACAUCUAUUCUAUUUAGUUUAGUUACUUAAGUAAUCAUUUUCUUUUCCUAAAUAAAGCUUUAUAAAAAUAUGCCAGAUGAAAAUAAGAGACUCGAACAAAGCCAGAAAGCCAUUGGGAGCUGAAGUUUAUCUAAAUAUUUCAGCUGCUGAGUAUCAGCGUUAAUGGUCCUUAGAUAUCAAAACAACCAAACCAAAGCUCAAAUGUGUACAACUAGAGUGAAUAUUAAAGCAAAUUUUACCCAACUUCUUCAUUAAAAAUGUACCAAUCAUUCAAAAACACACUGAAUUUAGGUCUAAGUCAGAAGAAAUACAUUCUCGUAUGAAACAAGUGAUCCAACACACUAAAGUUGAUUUUUUUUUUCAUGUUUAUUGUGAAAACGGUGAUCUUGUGAAGUUUGCAUACCACAGUAUCAGGCAUUACUUAAUAUCCAUUUUGAUGGCUGUUUACAUCACCUAAAAAUAAUAUGACAACUGGUAGCAUAUAUACAUCCUUUUCAAAACUGCUGAAAAACAGAAAUAAUGUGAUUCAAAUACAUGUCGCCGAGGAGCUGGGAUCCGCUCUUAAAUGAUAGGAUGGUAAACUUUACGUGUUGGCCAGAUAAAAAGAAAUUGCUCAGCCUCUUUUUUUCUGUAUUAAAAUAAUGAGUCCUAGGUGAUAAAGUAAUAAGACCCAAUACAUUAAAUCAGAAUAUUUACAUAAGUUCAAUAAUGUUUUAGACCAAACAAAAACAAAAAGGAGAAAGUAUGGAAUCAUUCUUAUUCUAAAUUUAAUUUUUUUUCUAUUGCUUCUUAGUUACAAGCAUUUCAAAGACUUUUUAAUAAUACAGUAACUUUUAAACUCCUAGUGGAGAUGAGGUGAGGUAACAUUUAAUUAAAGCAACAAGUUACCCCAGGUAUGUGAAAAUACCUUCCUGUUAGUUUCAGGGAUAUUUUGUACCAUUCGACAGGGAAGAAGCUUGGGUAAUUGUCUCAAGAAAGUGCUGUCUCAUCUGAAAUUUGAAGUUCAAUGUAGUUUAAGACGUUUUCUCUUUGGGCCAUUUAAAAAAAAAAAAAAAGACUGUAUUGAAUUAUUUUAAGUUACACCAAUCCUCUGGAAGCUACCUAAAAAGAAAGGGCUUUUUU